CGAAAUCGAGAGGAAUGAAUGAUUUCUUUUUAAUGUUAUAACUUCUGCAUUAAUAAUGUGAUGCUUUCUUGUACAAAGUUGCUGCUAGCUGUUUGUGGCUUGCAUCAAAACUGGAGGAAUGCCCUAAAAAGGCCAGGCAGGUUAUCAUUGUUUUCCACAGGAUGGAAUGUAGGAUGGACCCAUUCAGCCUUUGGAUCCAUAUUCAAAGAAAUGUUCGGACUUAAAGAUGGAGUUGAGUAAAGCAGAAAGACGUAUUUUAAAGGAGAUGGGUUUCAUUUCUCAUGUUGAGCAUCCUCAUAAGUUUAUAUCAAAUUAUCUUGCCACUCUGGGGACAGCACCAGAAUGAACACAAGAAGCCUGAAACUAGUAAAUGACAGAAUCUCUACUCCUUUGGCGACACCUUCUGGUCUGUUUAGUAAGGAAAACACGAACAAAUUAAGAUCGAGGAUGAAGAGCAUACAAGUGAUCAAUGCACCAAAUUAAGAUUGAGGAAAAACAACAAAGGAAAACUCAAGCUUAUUUACCUGCCUAGCUACAUCACAAAUAUAUAGCCUACACUACAUAUUUUGCUCAAUUAUGAACAAUAUAUUCUUUCUCAUGGCUUGUGAUCAGUUAAUAUAAC